UAGAAGCGCUGCUAGCAGGCCAGGCCUGGGCCGCCAGUCUGCGCAGGUGCGUCGGCGCGGGUGAGGGGGGCGCCAUCUUCUUGAUGAGCUUUACCUGCCGACCCGGAAGUGGUUCUCCCGGAAGUCCCAGAGGCGAGGCGGGGCGGGGGUCCGCUUCAGGCGCUGCUCCGGGACCCUGGGGCUCCUGCUUGGGCGCCUUCUGCAGGCCCUGGGAAGGAGCGCAGACCCAAGCUGCUUUUGCGUCUUCCGGAGACGCCGGCCGCCCUCGUGCUUCUCUUUGGCCACCUUGCCAAGAAGCGGCCACGGUGGAAGCAGAAGCUGCAAGAGAGAAUCAGCUAAACUGGAGCACAAAUCCAACAUGGAUUCUGCUACAUUCCAGUCUCCAGCUUGCUUUCUUGGUAACACAGGAUGAAUCCCUUCAGCUGUGGCGAAAAUGGUGUCAGAUGAAGAAACUGAGACUCACUGAUGUGAAGUAACUUCCGAGCUAGCAAGUGGAGGAUUAGGAAUCAGGACUGCAACACUGUUCUUUCCUCUGAGAGAACCUUGCUGUGUGAUCGGUAUCCGCAACAGCACGUUCGGGACGCUGCCCGAUUUCGUCGCGUGGGUUCAGUUCCUACAUUGAUGCCAGGCCUUCUACAGGGAAAAAAAAAAUGGACAUCUUAAUAAAAGUGGAACCAUGACAGACACAGAGGAAGAAGUCCACGUGAUGAUAGAGGCAAACCUGGGAGUUAUGCCACCGCAAGCCAAGAAACACCUGGGGCCACCAGAAGCUAGAAAAAAAACAAGAAGGACUCUUCUCUAGAGCCUUCAGAGGAAGCACAACCUUGCUGUCACCUUGAUAUUGGAUGCCUAGCUUCCAGAACCGUGGGAGAAUACAUUUCUAUGGUUUUCAGCCAUCUAGUCUGUGGCACUUUGUCACCAAAGCCCUUGGGAAGUCAUACCACCGCCAUGCUAUCCCUGUCUUUCUGAGGAAGACAAUGAAGAGAGCGAUGUCAGAAUUCCAGAAGGAGACACAGAUUCUCGAGAUGUCUUGUCCCACCCUUGGCACCCUUUGAUAAAGUAAAAAGCAGGUGUCAUUACACUAGGGACUAGUUGACAUCCUGAACUAAGCAGCCGCAAACAAAUUGAAGCGACCAAACUAAAACUUUUUAAACACUUAAUUUUUAAAAAGUGGAGCUGUGUGGCACCUGGCUGGCUCAGUCAGUAGAGCGUGCGACUCUUGAUCUCAGGGUUGCAGGUUUGAGGCCCCACCUUGGGUGUAGAGAUGACUUAAAAAUAAAAUCUUAAAGAAAAAACAAAGUGGAGCUGUAACAUAACAAGAAUAAGGAUCCAGGCUUAGCAUUAAAUAAACUCUCAGCCCAAAUAUUUUUUUUUAAUUUUUUUUAAUCUUUAUUUAUUUUUGAGACAGAGAGAGACAGAGUGUGAGUGGGGGAGGAACAGAGAGAGGGAGAUAAAGAAUCCCAAGUAGGCUCCAGGCUCCAAGCUGUCAGCACAGAGCCCGAUGCGGGGCUCGAACUCACAAACUGUGAGAUCAUGACCUGAGCUGAAGUCAGACGCUUAACCGACUGAGCCACCCAGGUCCCCCUCAUUCCAAGUGAUUUUAAGCAAGAUAUGUAACCUCCCUAAAUUUUAGGCUUCUUAUCCAUAAAACAUGACCAAAAUCCAGUUCACAGAAUUGUUAAAGAAUUAAAUGAGAUGAUGUUCACAAGCACUGCACUAAUUAUAAUUCACUGGUUCAAAUAUUAGAAACCCAGUUAAAGGGGCACCUGGGUGGCUCAGUCGGUUGUGUCCGGCUUCAGCUCAGGUCACGAUCUCACGGUUCAUGAGUUCAAGUCCCACAUCC